rnacentral:rRNA from 1 species
GAUGAACGCUGACGGCGUGCCUAAUACAUGCAAGUCGAGCGAACGGACGAGAAGCUUGCUUCUCUGAUGUUAGCGGCGGACGGGUGAGUAACACGUGGAUAACCUACCUAUAAGACUGGGAUAACUUCGGGAAACCGGAGCUAAUACCGGAUAAUAUUUUGAACCGCACGGUUCAAAAGUGAAAGACGGUCUUGCUGUCACUUAUAGAUGGAUCCGCGCUGCAUUAGCUAGUUGGUAAGGUAACGGCUUACCAAGGCAACGAUGCAUAGCCGAGCUGAGAGGGUGAUCGGCCACACUGGAACUGAGACACGGUCCAGACUCCUACGGGAGGCAGCAGUAGGGAAUCUUCCGCAAUGGGCGAAAGCCUGACGGAGCAACGCCGCGUGAGUGAUGAAGGUCUUCGGAUCGUAAAACUCUGUUAUUAGGGAAGAACAUAUGUGUAAGUAACUGUGCACAUCUUGACGGUACCUAAUCAGAAAGCCACGGCUAACUACGUG